rnacentral:rRNA from 1 species
GAUGAACGCUGGCGGCGUGCCUAAUACAUGCAAGUCGAACGAAACUUCUUUAUCCGAGUGCUUGCACUCACCGAUAAAGAGUUGAGUGGCGAACGGGUGAGUAACACGUGGGCAACCUGCCCAAAAGAGGGGGAUAACACUUGGAAACAGGUGCUAAUACCGCAUAACCAUAGUUACCGCAUGGUAACUAUGUAAAAGGUGGCUAUACUACCGCUUUUGGAUGGGCCCGCGGCGCAUUAGCUAGUUGGUAGGGUAAAGGCUUACCAAGGCAAUGAUGCGUAGCCGAAUUGAGAGGUUGAUCGGCCACAUUGGGACUGAGACACGGCCCAAACUCCUACGGGAGGCAGCAGUAGGGAAUCUUCCACAAUGGGCGAAAGCCUGAUGGAGCAACGCCGCGUGGGUGAAGAAGGUCUUCGGAUCGUAAAACCCUGUUGUUAGAGAAGAAAGUGCGUGAGAGUAACUGUUCACGUUUCGACGGUAUCUAACCAGAAAGCCACGGCUAACUACGUG